UAUAGAUGGAUCCGCGCUGCAUUAGCUAGUUGGUAAGGUAACGGCUUACCAAGGCAACGAUGCAUAGCCGACCUGAGAGGGUGAUCGGCCACACUGGAACUGAGACACGGUCCAGACUCCUACGGGAGGCAGCAGUAGGGAAUCUUCCGCAAUGGGCGAAAGCCUGACGGAGCAACGCCGCGUGAGUGAUGAAGGUCUUCGGAUCGUAAAACUCUGUUAUUAGGGAAGAACAUAUGUGUAAGUAACUGUGCACAUCUUGACGGUACCUAAUCAGAAAGCCACGGCUAACUACGUGCCAGCAGCCGCGGUAAUACGUAGGUGGCAAGCGUUAUCCGGAAUUAUUGGGCGUAAAGCGCGCGUAGGCGGUUUUUUAAGUCUGAUGUGAAAGCCCACGGCUCAACCGUGGAGGGUCAUUGGAAACUGGAAAACUUGAGUGCAGAAGAGGAAAGUGGAAUUC
rnacentral:rRNA from 1 species